CGACAAGCAGUUCAACUGGGUUAUAAAUGCAUCAUUGUUUGAAACCUAUUUCCCUAUUAUUCAUAUCUACAGUCGUGAGAUCCUUUAACAUCAAAACCCCAAUCAUAUCCCUAUCACAUUAUGUGAUCUAUCUGUAUUAGGUGGUUAUUUUGUUAGGUGGUUUAUGGUAAUAGGGGCUGCUGAGCAAGCACACUGAGCAAUAAGGUAGUGAGAAGUCAAACCCUGUCUCCCUCCUCCCCUCCCACCAACUUCCAUUGUUCUCUUCUGUUGGAGUGAAGCUGGGAUUCAGACUGAAAAACACAGCUGAGAACCAGGAUGGAAGCCAAAAAAGAUCUCUGAGCUGCCAAAACAGGAAUGAAGAAACAGACAUUCAGAGAACGGGGGGCAACUUACCCAAAGAAGCAGAGCCGAUGGGACUGAAGCCUUGUAACUCUAAAUUCAAGGCUCAUUCCAUGAUACCACAACUGAUUUCAAGAGGCAGAAAUGGCAGCAGGGGCUGGAGGAAGUUCCAGAAGAAGGGAAAAUCACAAGAAAAGGCCUUAAUGAGAAGGAAUGUUUGAAGAUCCAAGGAAAAAAGAAAUCAAGACAUGGAGAGGAAUGAAAUAGCAUAUGCAAGUCUGGUCAGUGGUAGAGAUGGUCCCAGAAUUCCUGUCCGUGUUAUUGCAACCAGUAAGUAUUCUUCUCAUCUGGAUUCUCUUGUUUCUUUCCCCCUACAACUUGCCUAGUUUCUUGCUUCCA
rnacentral:lncRNA from 1 species